UACGAAGGGGGCUAGCGUUGCUCGGAAUCACUGGGCGUAAAGGGCGCGUAGGCGGCGUUUUAAGUCGGGGGUGAAAGCCUGUGGCUCAACCACAGAAUGGCCUUCGAUACUGGGACGCUUGAGUAUGGUAGAGGUUGGUGGAACUGCGAGUGUAGAGGUGAAAUUCGUAGAUAUUCGCAAGAACACCGGUGGCGAAGGCGGCCAACUGGGCCAUUACUGACGCUGAGGCGCGAAAGCCAGGGGAGCGAACGGG
rnacentral:rRNA from 1 species